rnacentral:rRNA from 1 species
UACGUAGGGGGCAAGCGUUGUCCGGAAUCAUUGGGCGUAAAGCGCGUGUAGGCGGCCCGGUAAGUCCGCUGUGAAAGUCGGGGGCUCAACCCUCGAAUGCCGGUGGAUACUGUCGGGCUAGAGUGCGGAAGAGGCGAGUGGAAUUCCUGGUGUAGCGGUGAAAUGCGCAGAUAUCAGGAGGAACACCGGUGGCGAAGGCGGCAUCCUGGACCAAUAUUGACGCUGAGGAGCGAAAGCCAGGGGAGCAAACGGG